rnacentral:ncRNA from 1 species
UUUUUUGAGUUUUACUUAUAAGGUUUAAAAAUUUGACUAUGGUUUGAAGUAGUGUUAAGAUGGUGUUAUCCGGUUUGGAUUCAUUGAGUGGGCAAUGGGAUUUUACCCUGGCAGUUUGUCAUUUGUAGUAAUUUUGUUCCAGAAUAAUCGGCUAGACUUUGUAAAUUUGUACUCUAAUUGUUUUUAACUUGAGAUGUUUGUCUUUAAACUUAGUUUUUUAGGGUGAAAUUGGAGGGAGUUUUUUGUUUUAUCUCAAGUUUUGAUAUUUGGUGAAUAAGCCGGAUUAGUACCCGGUUAAACAAAAGUUAAAAGAGCAGGAGUAGAGUUGUAUUUAAACUGAAAUAGUAUUGACAGGUCUUUAAAUUAUCUUUGGAGGUUGAGUGAUAAUUGAGAACCCUCAUUAACGGCUUUUUUUGUUGGCGCAUGUAUGAUCGUUUGUUUUAUUCUUAGGGAUUGUAAUUUUAAUUUUUUGUUAUAAAAAUAGAUAUAUACUUGGUCUAUAUAAAAGUUAAAUUUGACCUACAUUACUUAGUUUUGUGGAACCUUUUGUAGUAUUGGGGGGAAAAUGUAAAAGACAGUAAAUUUCUUUUUAUGGGAGGUUGAAGUUUAUUUAGGGACGGCACAAAUCAUCCAUCAAUUGCCUAUAGGGGAGUAAGUUGUAGUAAAGUAGAGGUAGGGGAACCUGUCUCUAGUAAAGUUUUAUG